rnacentral:tRNA from 1 species
GGGCCCGUAGCUCAGCCAGGUCAGAGCGGCGGGCUCAUAACCCGUUGGUCGUGGGUUCAAAUCCCACCGGGCCCACCA